rnacentral:rRNA from 1 species
UCCGGCGGAUGGGUGAGUAACACGUGGGGAACUGCCCCUAAGUCUGGGAUACCAUUUGGAAACAGGUGCUAAUACCGGAUAAUAAAGCAGAUCGCAUGAUCAGCUUUUGAAAGGCGGCGUAAGCUGUCGCUAAGGGAUGGCCCCGCGGUGCAUUAGCUAGUUGGUAAGGUAACGGCUUACCAAGGCGACGAUGCAUAGCCGAGUUGAGAGACUGAUCGGCCACAUUGGGACUGAGACACGGCCCAAACUCCUACGGGAGGCAGCAGUAGGGAAUCUUCCACAUUGGACGCAAGUCUGAUGGAGCAACGCCGCGUGAGUGAAGAAGGUUUUCGGAUCGUAAAGCUCUGUUGUUGGUGAAGAAGGAUAGAGGUAGUAACUGGCCUUUAUUUGACGGUAAUCAACCAGAAAGUCACGGCUAACUGCGUGCCAGCAGCCGCGGUAAUACGUAGGUGGCAAGCGUUGUCCGGAUUUAUUGGGCGUAAAGCGAGCGCAGGCGGAAAAAUAAGUCUAAUGUGAAAGCCCUCGGCUUAACCGAGGAACUGCAUCGGAAACUGUUUUUCUUGAGUGCAGAAGAGGAGAGUGGAACUCCAUGUGUAGCGGUGGAAUGCGUAGAUAUAUGGAAGAACACCAGUGGCGAGGCGGCUCUCUGGUCUGCAACUGACGCUGAGGCUCGAAAGCAUGGGUAGCGAACAGGAUUAGAUACCCUGGUAGUCCAUGCCGUAACCGAUGAGUGCUAAGUGU